UAUUCUUAAAGAAGGUAAAUCGUCACAGAGUCAAGCAGUCUGCAUCAGGAGGUCUGCAGAGGGUCUGCAGAGGGUCUGCAGAGGGUCUGCAGAGGGUCUGCAGAGGGUCUGCAGAGGGUCUGCAGAGGGUCUGAACAUACAGGAUUCUUUGAAACACACCUUGUAGCAAACGGAGAAACAUCGUGUCUGCACUAACCUUAGAAUCACUCUAACAUCAUUUAGGACUCGUUUAGGUUUUACUGCCACCUGUCAAUCAUUUUGUUAGAAAUGUCUUGUAAAAGAAGAACAGAUUCUUGAAAUGCUCCCUCAGCAUGAUACAAUGUUCCAUUACACUAACUUAAAGCAGAAGAAGAAGAAACUCACCUGAAGUGGUGUGCUGCUCUGUGAUUGGUCCCCGGUGUGCAGGUGCUGGACGUGCAGCUGCUGAAGGAGCUGGGUCCGGGGGGGGGUCGGGUCAGCGCCGUGCAGCAGCUCCUGGACCAGGGGGCGGAUCCUUCCUGCUGCCACGGCGACGGCCGGCACGCGCUGGCGGUUGCCGUAGUGAACGGUCACCAUGACGUACUUCCUGUUUUGGUGCAAAGAGGCGCCGACGUGGACCAGCAGUCCGGACCAAUGAGGACCACGGCUCUGCAUGAAGCUGCAGCUCUGGGACCUGAAGGCCUGCAGUCUGCUAGAGUCCUGCUCAGGUAACACACACCUGCACA